AAUAAGCUUGCCCAGUGAAAGAGUUGACAAAGUUACUGAAUUUAGAUUGAGGAUGAGCAGAGCGGGGUGAUGUAGAUGCCAGACGUACGAUAAGGGCCACUCGUAUUAAAGAAGACGUAAGAAAGCAUAAGUUCGGUGUUAGAAGUAUAUAAAGUUGAGUUCUAUCGUUGUUAUGUAAGUUUGAUAUGCAUAAGGACUAACGGAGAUGAUGUAGAACCGUUCUUUGGGUGACCGGGGUACAAGAUUUCUCCCGCCAGGCUGUCAGUUCACCCGCGGCUCCCUCGCAUUAAUAAAAACGAAACAAAGCCUAAAUUCGAUGUUAAAGGUAUAUAAGGUUGAGCUGCAUCGUUGUACUGUGACUUAGGUGUGCACGAGAACCGAUGUAGAUGUUGCGGAGUCGCUGUACAGGUGACCGGGGGUACAAGAUUUCUCCCGCCCAGCUCUCUCGUCUCAGGCCCGCGCGCGCUCCCGUCACCGCCGCCAGCUGAUCAGUGAGCCUCUAGCUAGCGGUGGUAGUGUGGUGUUGUGCGGUGCUGUGUUGAGUUGGGGGAAGUUUCUUUUGACACUACAAACUUACGAUAGAGUAUUAUUUAUUUGGGUAUAUUUUUUUAUAAACCUCAAGUGCGGUAUAGUCGCGAGUGCUGUGUGUGUUGUGUUCGUGUUAGUGGCUGUGUCGGAGCGGUGAUGACUUAAAUUAGCGUCGUGCAUGCAGCGGCACAUGAGGUGGUCGCGGCCUGCUAAUGCGCCCGUGAUCUGCCGGCGAGCCUUGGCCGUGUGUGGAGCGCCCCGAGGAUUAACUGGAAUACUCCCCGCGGCCACGGCACAGCAGCCCUCCCCCCGCGAACACAAGGUACCGUGCCAUCACUCCUCCGCUCAGGGCGGCGGCGGCGGCGCGGCUGUUGUCUCGUCAACACGACACAAGGCAAGUUGUGUUGUCCUCCGGGGCGUCCUCGCGGAGGCGCCUCGCGGCCUCAUGAAUACAAAUGAGCACAUCAUCACUACGCGGGGACGCGGCGCCAAUACCGAACACGAAUAUAAACACAACAAGGGUCCAUUUAUUUGCAUGUUUAGCGCCUUUUCGCUCCGUGGUGUGGCGGGACGCUAACGAGCAGGGAAGGAGGUGCUUAGCAGGGCAGGCAGUACAGCGGACGCGGCCGUUAUCCCCUCGUGAGCGUCUCAGACACUGCUAAGUGCCUCCAUAUUCGCGCCACUAUUAACAUAACCGGCUCUUGGCGCGCCCUUCACGCAUAUCGCUUCAUCAUCAUGUUACGCUGCGAUUACCAGGAUUAGCACGCACAAAGAACCCGCCUUGAUACAGCGGUGUUGACGGAGACAUGUCUCGCCCCGACGCGUUCUUCAAUUGCUUACUGGUGAAGGCGAGGGGGGGAAGGAGGAGGAUGCGUAGUCCCUAUCUCUCUACUGGCAUGUGGCGCCGACGCUUGAACAGGCCAGGUUAGGUUAGGUAAAGUGUGGUUAGAUUUGCCUAGGUAAGGUAAGGUUAGGUUAGCUGAAGUUGGGGUGAGGUGAGGUUAGAUAAGGAUUGAUUAGGUUAGGUAAGGAUAGAUAAGGUUAGGUUAGGUAAGGAUAGGUGAGGUAAGGUUAGGUAAAGUCUGGUUAGAUUUGCCUAGGUAAGGUUAGGUUAGGUUAGCUGAAGUUGGGGUGAGGUGAGGUUAGAUAAGGAUUGAUUAGGUUAGGUAAGGAUAGAUAAGGUUAGGUUAGGUAAGGAUAGGUGAGGUAAGGUUAGGUAAAGUCUGGUUAGAUUUGCCUAGGUAAGGUUAGGUUAGGUUAGCUGAAGUUGGGGUGAGGUGAGGUUAGAUAAGGAUUGAUUAGGUUAGGUAAGGAUAGAUAAGGUUAGGUUAGGUAAGGAUAGGUGAGGUAAGGUUAGGUAAAGUGUGGUUAGAUUUGCCUAGGUAAGGUUAGGUUAGGUUAGCUGAAGUUAGGGUGAGGUAAGGUUAGAUAAGGAUUGAUUAGGUUAGGUAAGGAUAGAUAAGGUUAGGUUAGGUAAGGAUAGGUGAGGUAAGGUUAGGUAAAGUGUGGUUAGAUUUGCCUAGGUAAGGUUAGGUUAGGUUAGCUGAAGUUGGGGUGAGGUGAGGUUAGAUAAGGAUUGAUUAGGUUAGGUAAGGAUAGAUAAGGUUAGGUUAGGUAAGGAUAGGUGAGGUAAGGUUAGGUAAAGUCUGGUUAGAUUUGCCUAGGUAAGGUUAGGUUAGCUGAAGUUGGGGUGAGGUGAGGUUAGAUAAGGAUUGAUUAGGUUAGGUAAGGAUAGAUAAGGUUAGGUUAGGUAAGGAUAGGUGAGGUAAGGUUAGGUAAAGUCUGGUUAGAUUUGCCUAGGUAAGGUUAGGUUAGGUUAGCUGAAGUUGGGGUGAGGUGAGGUUAGAUAAGGAUUGAUUAGGUUAGGUAAGGAUAGAUAAGGUUAGGUUAGGUAAGGAUAGGUGAGGAUUGGUAAGGCUAUAUUUGAUUAUGCUAUGUUAUGUUAUGUUAGGUAAAGUUAGGAUGAAGUAAGGUUAGAUAAGGAUUGAUUAGGUUAGGUUAGGUAAGGAUAGAUAAGGUUAGGUGAGGAUCGGUAAGGCUAGAUUUGCUUGUUAUGUUAAGUUAGGUUAGGUUAGGUAAGGUUAGAAAAGAGUUAUUCAUGGUAACUUUUUUUAUAACAAAGGCGACAGUUCAAGGGCAUAAAAGAGAAAACAAUAAUGAAAAAAAAAAAGCCCGCUAUUUACUGCUCCUAAAAAAGAGUGCAGAGAAGUAUCCGAAAGAGAGGUUUGAGUGGGGUAUUUACAAGGAGAGUAUUUUCCAGAGCACCUCGUGGCUAGUUUCUGAGCUACAGCCUUUACUCGGGGGCCACAUACCCAUAGAGAGACAGAUAACAUGCAGCCGGGACUCAGUGACAGUGGACGGAGGGGAGGUGUCAGUGAGUACGAUUGGCCAGCGAAAUUCUGCCGUGCCAAGCGUUGGAGUCAAGUGCUGGACGAUGCAUUGGAGUGAUCAGACACGUCGUAAUCUGAUUGGUCUGGCGCGUCAUUGACUGGUCGAGGGCUUCAGCUUGUCCCCGACGCUGCCAUGAUUCUGUAGAGAGAGAGGGAGGGGAGGGAGGGUGAAGAAGGAGAGGAAAGGAAAGGAAACAAAGAUAAAGGAAACGAAGCAAGAGGGAGAGAGAGGGAGAGGGACAAAGAGUAAGAGUGAGAUGAGACACAAGAGACGAGGGAGGUGAAACUAUAAAACACUACCCCACUAAAGUCCGUAAGGGAAGUUAGCCAACACCAACACGUCCAAUCGCCAACCUCUAGCAUUCUUUAGGUCCGCCCUCGCGCGCCGCUCCCUGUAUUACCUAAGCGUGUAAUUGUUUAAGCUGUAGCGUCCCGAGACUCAAGAAGGGACGGCCGGCUCUAAUCUUACGCUGGGGAGAUGCAAAUUACGCUAAGUGUUCCGGGGGCUGUGAUGAGGGAGUACGGGUGGAGGAGGCGGCGUGGGGCGAGGA